rnacentral:rRNA from 1 species
UACGAAGGGGGCUAGCGUUGUUCGGAAUCACUGGGCGUAAAGCGCACGUAGGCGGCUCUUUAAGUCAGGGGUGAAAUCCCGAGGCUCAACCUCGGAACUGCCUUUGAUACUGGGGAUCUCGAGUCCGGGAGAGGUGAGUGGAACUGCGAGUGUAGAGGUGAAAUUCGUAGAUAUUCGCAAGAACACCAGUGGCGAAGGCGGCUCACUGGCCCGGAACUGACGCUGAGGUGCGAAAGCGUGGGGAGCAAGCAGG